AUGGGCCCGCGUCUGAUUAGCCAGUUGGCAGGGUAACGGCCUACCAAAGCGACGAUCAGUAGCCGGCCUGAGAGGGCGGACGGCCACACUGGGACUGAGACACGGCCCAGACUCCUACGGGAGGCAGCAGUGGGGGAUAUUGCACAAUGGGGGGAACCCUGAUGCAGCGACGCCGCGUGGAUGAAGAAGCGCCUCGGCGCGUAAAGCCCUGUCAGCAGGGAAGAAAAUGACGGUACCUGAAGAAGAAGCCCCGGCUAACUACGUGCCAGCAGCCGCGGUAAUACGUAGGGGGCAAGCGUUAUCCGGAUUUACUGGGUGUAAAGGGAGCGCAGACGGCAGUGCAAGUCUGGAGUGAAAGCCCGGGGCCCAACCCCGGAACUGCUCUGGAAACUGUGCGGCUAGAGUACUGGAGGGGCAGGCGGAAUUCCUAGUGUAGCGGUGAAAUGCGUAGAUAUUAGGAGGAACACCAGUGGCGAAGGCGGCCUGCUGGACAGUAACUGACGUUGAGGCUCGAAAGCGUGGGGAGCA
rnacentral:rRNA from 1 species